UAAAGUCUAACCUGCCCAGUGAUGAUUUAAAUGGCCGCAGUAUUUUGACUGUGCGAAGGUAGCAUAAUAAUUAGUCUUUUAAUUGGAGGCUAGAAUGAAAGGUUGGACGAGAAGUGUGCUGUUUCAUUUGUAGAAAAAUAGAAUUUUAUUUUUUAGUGAAAAAGCUAAAAUUUUUUUAAAAGACGAGAAGACCCUAUAGAUCUUUAUAGUUUUUAUUUUUAUUAUAUUUGGGAAUUAUUUAUUUUAAAUAUUAUUAUACUAUUGAGUUGGGGUGAUUUUAAAAUUUAAUUAACUUUUAAUUUUAUUUUACAUUUAUUUGUGAAUAACAAAUGUUUUUAUGAUCCUUUAUUAGUGAUUAUAAGAUUAAGUUACCUUAGGGAUAACAGCGUAAUUUUUCUGGAGAGUUCUUAUCGAUAGAAAAGAUUGCGACCUCGAUGUUGGAUUAAGAUUAUAAUAAGGUGCAGAAGCUUUAUGUUUAAGUCUGUUCGACUUUUAAUUUCUUACAUGAUCUGAGUUCAGACCGGCGUGAGCCAGGUUGGUUUCUAUCUUUAAAUUGUUAAAACACUUUAGUACGAAAGGACCAAGUGUUUAAAUUAUUAAAUUUUAAAAGUUGAAUAAUAUUAAU
rnacentral:rRNA from 1 species